AGAGUUUGAUCCUGGCUCAGGAUGAACGCUAGCUACAGGCUUAACACAUGCAAGUCGAGGGGAAACGACAUCGAAAGCUUGCUUUUGAUGGGCGUCGACCGGCGCACGGGUGAGUAACGCGUAUCCAACCUGCCCACCACUUGGGGAUAACCUUGCGAAAGUAAGACUAAUACCCAAUGAUAUCUCUAGAAGACAUCUGAAAGAGAUUAAAGAUUUAUCGGUGAUGGAUGGGGAUGCGUCUGAUUAGCUUGUUGGCGGGGUAACGGCCCACCAAGGCAACGAUCAGUAGGGGUUCUGAGAGGAAGGUCCCCCACAUUGGAACUGAGACACGGUCCAAACUCCUACGGGAGGCAGCAGUGAGGAAUAUUGGUCAAUGGGCGAGAGCCUGAACCAGCCAAGUAGCGUGCAGGAAGACGGCCCUAUGGGUUGUAAACUGCUUUUAUAAGGGAAUAAAGUGAGUCUCGUGAGACUUUUUGCAUGUACCUUAUGAAUAAGGACCGGCUAAUUCCGUGCCAGCAGCCGCGGUAAUACGGAAGGUCCGGGCGUUAUCCGGAUUUAUUGGGUUUAAAGGGAGCGUAGGCCGGAGAUUAAGCGUGUUGUGAAAUGUAGACGCUCAACGUCUGCACUGCAGCGCGAACUGGUUUCCUUGAGUGCGCACAAAGUGGGCGGAAUUCGUGUGUAGCGGUGAAAUGCUUAGAUAUCACGAAGAACUCCGAUUGCGAAGGCAGCUCACUGGAGCGCAACUGACGCUGAAGCUCGAAAGUGCGGGUAUCGAACAGGAUUAGAUACCCUGGUAGUCCGCACGGUAAACGAUGGAUGCCCGCUGUUGGUCUGAACAGGUCAGCGGCCAAGCGAAAGCAUUAAGCAUCCCACCUGGGGAGUACGCCGGCAACGGUGAAACUCAAAGGAAUUGACGGGGGCCCGCACAAGCGGAGGAACAUGUGGUUUAAUUCGAUGAUACGCGAGGAACCUUACCCGGGCUUGAAUUGCAGAGGAAGGAUUUGGAGACAAUGACGCCCUUCGGGGUCUCUGUGAAGGUGCUGCAUGGUUGUCGUCAGCUCGUGCCGUGAGGUGUCGGCUUAAGUGCCAUAACGAGCGCAACCCCUCUCCUUAGUUGCCAUCAGGUUAAGCUGGGCACUCUGGGGACACUGCCACCGUAAGGUGUGAGGAAGGUGGGGAUGACGUCAAAUCAGCACGGCCCUUAC
rnacentral:rRNA from 1 species